rnacentral:rRNA from 1 species
CCGUCGCCAAGAGAUCGGAUAACACCUGGAAACAGAUGCUAAUACCGGAUAACAACAGAUGAUGCCUAUCAACUGUUUAAAAGAUGGUUCUGCUAUCACUCUUGGAUGGACCUGCGGUGCAUUAGCUAGUUGGUAGGGUAACGGCCUACCAAGGCGAUGAUGCAUAGCCGAGUUGAGAGACUGAUCGGCCACAUUGGGACUGAGACACGGCCCAAACUCCUACGGGAGGCAGCAGAU